rnacentral:misc_RNA from 1 species
GAUGAAGAACGCAGCGAAAUGCGAUAAGUAAUGUGAAUUGCAGAAUUCAGUGAAUCAUCGAAUCUUUGAACGCACAUUGCGCCCGCCAGUAUUCUGGCGGGCAUGCCUGUCCGAGCGUCAUUUCAACCCUCGAACCCCUCCGGGGGGUCGGCGUUGGGGAUCGGCCCUGCCUUUGGCGGUGGCCGUCUCCGAAAUACAGUGGCGGUCUCGCCGCAGCCUCUCCUGCGCAGUAGUUUGCACACUCGCAUCGGGAGCGCGGCGCGUCCACAGCCGUUAAACACCCAACUUCUGAAAUGUUGACCUCGGAUCAGGUAGGAAUACCCGCUGAACUUAAGCAUAUCAAUAAGCGGACGA